rnacentral:rRNA from 1 species
CACGUAGGGCGCAAGCGUUGUCCGGAAUUAUUGGGCGUAAAGAGCUCGUAGGCGGUCUGUUACGUCUGCUGUGAAAACCCGGGGCUUAACCCUGGGCUUGCAGUGGAUACGGGCAGACUAGAGGCAGGUAGGGGAGAAUGGAAUUCCCGGUGUAGCGGUGAAAUGCGCAGAUAUCGGGAGGAACACCGGUGGCGAAGGCGACUCUUUGGCCUGUAACUGACGCUGAGGCGCGAAAGCGUGGGGAGCAAACAGG